rnacentral:lncRNA from 1 species
AAAAAAACAGGAUUAAAAUUAUCAUAUAAAGCCAUUUAAUGUUGGAUUUAUCAUCAUGGACAUGUUGUACAGAGUCUCGGAAAAAGACACUGAGGUUCCAGGCCGCACUACAAGUCUUCCAGAAGGGCCACGGUCGCACGGGAGCCCUGGUUGGAACGUGUUAGCUUCCCGGCAAACCCUGAGCAAUCAUGACACUUUGGACCACGGGCUGCUUUGGCUACUCCAAACGGGGGAUACCUCGACCAGUGCUCGCCGUUUUACUUCACGAGAAAAGUGCUGCUCUUGAAGCUCCCGAAGCUCCUGAUGCUCCUGAAACGCCUCGUCAGUAGUCCGCCCGAUACUUCUGUAAAAUGGUGACUCACUGUAUCACUGACACAUAAGAGACUCACUGAGCCGGAGAAAAA